rnacentral:rRNA from 1 species
GACGAACGCUGGCGGCGUGCUUAACACAUGCAAGUCGAACGGAAAGGCCCUGCUUUUGUGGGGUCCUCGGGUGGCGAACGGGGGAGUAACCCGUGAGUAACCUGCCCUUGACUUUGGGAUAACUUCAGGAAACUUAGGCUAAUACCGGAUAGGAGCUCCUGCUGCAUGGUGGGGGUUGGAAGGUUUCGGCGGUUGGGGAUGGACUCGCGGCUUAUCAGCUUGUUGGUGGGGUAGUGGCUUACCAAGGCUUUGCCGGGUAGCCGGCCUGAGCGGGUGACCGGACACAUUGGGACUGAGAUACGGCACAGACUCGUACGGGAGGCAGCAGUGGGGAAUAUUGCACAAUGGGCGGAAGCCUGAUGUAGCAACGCCGCGUGCGGGAUGACGGCCUUCGGGUUGUAAACCGCUUUCGCCUGUGACGAAGCGUGAGUGACGGUAACGGGUAAAGAAGCACCGGCUAACUACGUG